UACGAAGGGGGCUAGCGUUGUUCGGAAUUACUGGGCGUAAAGCGCACGUAGGCGGAUUGUUUAGUGAGGGGUGAAAUCCCAGGGCUCAACCCUGGAACUGCCUCUCAUACUGGCAAUCUCGAGUCCGGAAGAGGUGAGUGGAAUUCCGAGUGUAGAGGUGAAAUUCGUAGAUAUUCGGAGGAACACCAGUGGCGAAGGCGGCUCACUGGUCCGGUACUGACGCUGAGGUGCGAAAGCUGGGGUCUCGAACCGG
rnacentral:misc_RNA from 1 species